AGUGAACGCUGGCGGUAGGCCUAACACAUGCAAGUCGAACGGCAGCACAGGAGAGCUUGCUCUACGGGUGGCGAGUGGAGGACGGGUGAGGAAUACAUCGGAAUCUACUUUUUCGUGGGGGAGAACGUAGGGAAACUUACGCUAAUACCGCAUACGACCUAAGGGUGAAAGCAGGGGAUCUUCGGACCUUGCGCGAUUGAAUGAGCCGAUGUCGGAUUAGCUAGUUGGCGGGGUAAAGGCCCACCAAGGCGACGAUCCGUAGCUGGUCUGAGAGGAUGAUCAGCCACACUGGAACUGAGACACGGUCCAGACUCCUACGGGAGGCAGCAGUGGGGAAUAUUGGACAAUGGGCGCAAGCCUGAUCCAGCCAUACCGCGUGGGUGAAGAAGGCCUUCGGGUUGUAAAGCCCUUUUGUUGGGAAAGAAAUCCAGCUGGUUAAUACCCGGUUGGGAUGACGGUACCCAAAGAAUAAGCACCGGCUAACUUCGUGCCAGCCGCCGCGGUAA
rnacentral:rRNA from 1 species